AGAGUUUGAUCCUGGCUCAGGAUGAACGCUGGCGGUAUGCUUAACACAUGCAAGUCGAACGGAACUCUUCGGAGUUCAGUGGCGGACGGGUGAGUAACGCGUGAGAAUCUGGCUUCAGGUUCGGGACAACCAUUGGAAACGAUGGCUAAUACCGGAUGUGCCGCAGGGUGAAAGAUUAAUUGCCUGAAGAUGAGCUCGCGUCUGAUUAGCUAGUUGGUGGGGUAAGAGCCUACCAAGGCGACGAUCAGUAACUGGUCUGAGAGGAUGACCAGUCACACUGGGACUGAGACACGGCCCAGACUCCUACGGGAGGCAGCAGUGGGGAAUUUUCCGCAAUGGGCGAAAGCCUGACGGAGCAAUACCGCGUGAGGGAGGAAGGCUCUAGGGUUGUAAACCUCUUUUCUCAGGGAAGAAUAAAAUGACGGUACCUGAGGAAUAAGCAUCGGCUAACUCCGUGCCAGCAGCCGCGGUAAUACGGAGGAUGCAAGCGUUAUCCGGAUUUAUUGGGCGUAAAGCGUCCGCAGGUGGCAGUUCAAGUCUGCUGUCAAAGGUCGGGGCUCAACCCCGAACAGGCAGUGGAAACUGAACAGCUAGAGUACGGUAGGGGCAGAGGGAAUUCCCAGUGUAGCGGUGAAAUGCGUAGAGAUUGGGAAGAACACCGGUGGCGAAAGCGCUCUGCUAGGCCGAAACUGACACUCAUGGACGAAAGCUAGGGGAGCGAAUGGGAUUAGAUACCCCAGUAGUCCUAGCCGUAAACGAUGGAUACUAGCGUUGUGAGUAUCGACCCUCACAGUGUCGUAGCUAACGCGUUAAGUAUCCCGCCUGGGGAGUACGCGCGCAAGCGUGAAACUCAAAGGAAUUGACGGGGGCCCGCACAAGCGGUGGAGUAUGUGGUUUAAUUCGAUGCAACGCGAAGAACCUUACCAGGGCUUG
rnacentral:rRNA from 1 species